rnacentral:rRNA from 1 species
AUUGAACGCUGGCGGCAGGCCUAACACAUGCAAGUCGAGCGGAUGAAGGGAGCUUGCUCCCGGAUUCAGCGGCGGACGGGUGAGUAAUGCCUAGGAAUCUGCCUGGUAGUGGGGGAUAACGUCCGGAAACGGGCGCUAAUACCGCAUACGUCCUGAGGGAGAAAGUGGGGGAUCUUCGGACCUCACGCUAUCAGAUGAGCCUAGGUCGGAUUAGCUAGUUGGUGGGGUAAAGGCCUACCAAGGCGACGAUCCGUAACUGGUCUGAGAGGAUGAUCAGUCACACUGGAACUGAGACACGGUCCAGACUCCUACGGGAGGCAGCAGUGGGGAAUAUUGGACAAUGGGCGAAAGCCUGAUCCAGCCAUGCCGCGUGUGUGAAGAAGGUCUUCGGAUUGUAAAGCACUUUAAGUUGGGAGGAAGGGCAGUAAGUUAAUACCUUGCUGUUUUGACGUUACCAGCAGAAUAAGCACCGGCUAACUUCGUG